CGGGGAUGACGUCAAAUCAGCACGGCCCUUACGUCCAGGGCUACACACGUGCUACAAUGGCCGAUACAGAGGGCAGCUACCUGGUGACAGGAUGACAAAUCUACCAAAGUCGGUCUCAGUUCGGAUCGGAGUCUGCAACCCGACUCCGUGAAGUUGGAUUCGCUAGUAAUCGCGCAUCAGCCAUGGCGCGGUGAAUACGUUCCCGGGCCUU
rnacentral:rRNA from 1 species